CUGCUGCCUUCCGUAGGAGUUUGGGCCGUGUCUCAGUCCCAAUGUGGCCGUUCACCCUCUCAGGCCGGCUACUGAUCGUCGCUUUGGUAGGCCGUUACCCUGCCAACUGGCUAAUCAGACGCGGGUCCAUCUCACACCGAUAAAUCUUUUCCGUCAGUAUCAUGCGAUACCAGCGGGUUAUGCGGUAUUAGCGGUCGUUUCCAACUGUUAUCCCCCUGUGUGAGGCAGGUUACCCACGCGUUACUCACCCGUCCGCCACU
rnacentral:rRNA from 1 species